ACUUUCUAUUUGCAUUCUGUACUCUGUCAAAAGACAGUAAUCUGAUCAUUAUAUUGCUGGUAUGGUGAUAUAAAACUUUGUUGUUGGUGCAGCAUGCUUUCAGCCACUACAUAAUUCAAAAAAUAUUUUAGUAAUUUCAGGAACUUGGGAGACGGCUAGGUACCUUUAAAUAACAACAUUUCCAUCCAUGUUGGGGUUAAUGUGAAUGCUGGAAAUGAUCUUAUCCCUUGUGUGAAGUUCCUUAAAUCAACCUCCUUUGCACUCUGGAUCAAACAUGUUUCACUAGGCAAACACAAGAUUGGGACUUGAAGACUUCAUGCACUUCCCGUCUUUUCAACUUCAAUUUGUAAUCCUUCAAGUUUAAAUUUUUGACUUGUCUGAUGCAAUACUUUAGUUGCACUUAAGUUCAUCACCUUCUUCCUAGUGCGUUAACUCGGAAGCUCCUACUGGGAUUUUCUCUUAUAGUGGGGGGAGAAAGAAAUAGAAUUUGGGAAGGCACUAUAAGUGUCUAUACGGGUGAUGCCGCAUAAUGUUAAGAACCUGUUGGUAUGCUGGCAGAAUCAGAAGACAACGAAAAGGCUGAAGUAGAUUUGGAAAAAGAGAUGCUUUGAAGGCAAAAAGAGUCACAUAGCAGUGGUAAAAAACAAGUGUAUCCAGUAUCUGUACUAUUGGUGUAAGGAGGGCUUGUUAGAGGAUAUGGAUCAAUAUCUUGAUUUCCUAAAGUUGUUAGGGAGAAGCAUGUGAUGGUUGAUUGGUCUGAGUUCUUCUUUCUGUUGUAAACUUGUAAUUUCUGUACCAGCUUGGUACUUCAUUAAUAAAAUUUACCCUACCUUUAUCAAAAAAAAGUGUCUAUAUGGUGCCUUGGUUAAAGGGAAUUCACGUUCAGAAACAGGCUUAUAUCUAUUUAAAUAACUCUAUAUUACUUAGUUUCCUCUGGUUUGAUGCAUUGAAUAUCAUCCCUAUACUUGCAUUGUCCUUUUCAAGCUUUUCAGCUAGCUGAGAAUUGCGUAAAAUAGGGGUUUGGUCUGUGAUUCUGCCCAACCUUGUAUGGUAUUGCCACCACCUUAGUUCAUCUUGUGAAAGACUGAAAGUGCUAGUGCGAGCAAGUACAGAACAAUGUGCAGUAUGACCUAAUACCUUCAAAACUGCAUCACCUCGUUUUAACAGAAAAUUGACUCUGAAAUUGAAAUAAAAAAUGAGUUGUUAUUUCCAACUUCUUGAUAAGAACUUAUUUUUCUUAAGUAAACAGAUCUUAGACAUAUUAUUCAUGUGGAAAAUUUGUGU